UGGUAUCAUGAUAUUCAGAUUUACAUCAAAAAUAGAGAAUACCCUCUUGGGGAAAGCAGAAACGAAAGAAGAAUGAUCAGAAGGUUAGCGUUGGGAUACUUCCCCAGUAGAGAAGCCCUAUACAAGAGGGGCUCCAACGGCGAACUGUUGAGAUAUGUGGAUGCAGAAGAGAUAAAGAGGAUUCUUUUCGAGACUCAUGAGGG
rnacentral:misc_RNA from 1 species